GUCAUGUGUUCAUGGCUCUCCAGUUUAAAAUUGCUGAGNCUAAGGUUAUUCUGUUCAAUUUGCUACUAUGUUUGAUCAUAUUCUACUCUGUGUAUUACGUGGUCCUAUGUUUUUGCUUCACAGCAUUCAGGCUGCAGAUGGUGGAUGGACUGGCACCGUUUGAUUUUAAGACAAACCCUUCAUGGAUUGAUCCAUAUUAUUUAGUUCUUCUAGUAUCAUUGGAAACAACUUAUUUUAUCU
rnacentral:lncRNA from 1 species